rnacentral:rRNA from 1 species
GUCCAGACUCCUACGGGAGGCAGCAGUUGGGGAUAUUUCACAAUGGGGGAACCCCUUAUGCAGCGACUCCUCGUGUGGGCAUCCUUUCCUCUGUAUUUUAAACCACUUUCCCCCGGGACGAAUCUUCCGGUACCUUUUUCUUAAGCUCCUUCUCACUACGUGCCCUCCUCCGCGGUACUCCUUCGGGGGCACUCUUUAUCCGGAUUUACUGGGUGUAAAGGUAGCGUAGACGGAGAUGCAAGCCAGAUGUGAAAGCCCGGGGAGAAACCCCGGGACUGCAUUUGGAACUGUGUGGCUGGAGUGUCGGAGAGGAAGGCGGAAUUAAGAGUGUAGCGGUGAAAUGCGUAGAGAUGAGGAGGAACAAAAGUGGCGAAGGCGGCAGGAUGGGCUUUUAAUGACGCUGAGGCUCGAAAGUGUGGGGAGAAAACAGGAUUAGAUACCCCUGUAG